UGGAGACCUGCUGGGAUGCAAACAACUAUUUUAGAUCAUGAAUUAACUUAAAGUUAAAAGCUGUACCUGGAACAACAGGAACCCAGGUAUCUGUGUGACGUUUUCUCUUCCCCAAGCCAAACAACAUCCAACAGAUAAAACAGAUGAGAAUCCAGCUGCCUCUAGCAAGUCAGAGGUCAAA